rnacentral:rRNA from 1 species
UACGUAGGGGGCGAGCGUUGUCCGGAAUCAUUGGGCGUAAAGCGCGUGUAGGCGGCCCGGUAAGUCCGCUGUGAAAGUCCAGGGCUCAACCCUGGGAUGCCGGUGGAUACUGUCGGGCUCGAGUCCGGAAGAGGCGAGUGGAAUUCCUGGUGUAGCGGUGAAAUGCGCAGAUAUCAGGAGGAACACCAGCGGCGAAGGCGGCGCUCUGGGCCGGUACUGACGCUGAGGAGCGAAAGCGUGGGGAGCAAACAGG